AUACGGAGGGUGCAAACGUUGUGCGGAAUCACUGGGCGUAAAGGGCGCGCAGGCGGUUUGAUUAGUCAGAUGUGAAAGCCCACGGCUUAACCGUGGAAGUGCAUUUGAAACUGUCAGACUUGAGUACUGGAGGGGAAAGUGGAAUUCCCGGUGUAGAGGUGAAAUUCGUAGAUAUCGGGAGGAAUACCGGUGGCGAAGGCGACUUUCUGGCUAGAUACUGACGCUGAGGCGCGAAAGCGUGGGGAGCAAACAGAAUUAGAAACCCUAGUAGUCC
rnacentral:rRNA from 1 species